rnacentral:lncRNA from 1 species
AAGUUUUGUUCUUACACAUCAAGAAGACUGGAAGUGGACUGGGUUUCCUUACCCCUCUCUAAAAAGCACAGUUGGAAAUAUUUGCCUGUUGCCCACCAAACACAAUGUGAUUGUAGCAGAAAAAAAGGACAUCCAGCCAUAAGGAUGACUGGGACAGACACAAAGGUGAAUUUCUAAUGAACGGAGCCUAAGAACAGGAGGACAGAAUGAGACCUUUUUCUGGAUUGACAAUGAUUUACAGUCAAGUACUCAGAAUUCCCUCUACCAUUUUUCUCAUCCUUUGACAUGAAAAUCUCACUUCAUCAUGCAUAUUCAUUAAUAACUUCUGCAAACACCUUGCUUGUGUCAGGGUCUGUGGAAUAUGUAUAGAUACUUU